rnacentral:rRNA from 1 species
GAUGAACGCUGGCGGCGUGCCUAAUACAUGCAAGUCGAACGCAUAGCGAAAGGUGCUUGCACCUUUCAAGUGAGUGGCGAACGGGUGAGUAACACGUGGACAACCUGCCUCAAGGCUGGGGAUAACAUUUGGAAACAGAUGCUAAUACCGAAUAAAACUUAGUGUCGCAUGACACAAAGUUAAAAGGCGCUUCGGCGUCACCUAGAGAUGGAUCCGCGGUGCAUUAGUUAGUUGGUGGGGUAAAGGCCUACCAAGACAAUGAUGCAUAGCCGAGUUGAGAGACUGAUCGGCCACAGUGAGACUGAGACACGGCCCAAACUCCUACGGGAGGCUGCAGUAGGGAAUCUUCCACAAUGGGCGAAAGCCUGAUGGAGCAACGCCGCGUGUGUGAUGAAGGCUUUCGGGUCGUAAAGCACUGUUGUAUGGGAAGAACAGCUAGAAUAGGAAAUGAUUUUAGUUUGACGGUACCAGACCAGAAAGGGACGGCUAAAUACGUG